rnacentral:rRNA from 1 species
CCUACGGGCGGCAGCAGUGGGGAAUAUUGGGCAAUGGGCGCAAGCCUGACCCAGCAAUGCCGCGUGAAGGCAGAAGGCUUUCGGGUUGUAAACUUCUUUGACAGGGGAAGAGCAGAAGACGGUACCCUGAAAACAAGCCACGGCUAACUACGUGCCAGCAGCCGCGGUAAUACGUAGGUGGCAAGCGUUGUCCGGAUUUACUGGGUGUAAAGGGCGUGUAGCCGGGAAGGCAAGUCAGAUGUGAAAUCUGGAGGCUCAACCUCCAAAUUGCAUUUGAAACUGUUUUUCUUGAGUACUGGAGAGGCAGACGGAAUUCCUUGUGGAGCGGUGAAAUGCGUAGAUAUAAGGAGGAACACCAGUGGCGAAGGCGGUCUGCUGGACAGCAACUGACGGUGAGGCGCGAAAGCGUGGGGAGCAAACAGGAUUAGAUACCCCAGUAGUC